GGUCGCAUAGCUCAGCUGGGAGAGCACCUGCCUUACAAGCAGGGGGUCACAGGUUCGAUCCCUGUUACGACCACCA
rnacentral:tRNA from 1 species